rnacentral:rRNA from 1 species
AGGUGUGUGGGUGGGUAGGGGAGCGUCGUGCAGCCGUGGAAGCAUCGGGGUGACCUAGGUGUGGAGGCUGUGCGAGUGAGAAUGCAGGCAUGAGUAGCGAAAGACGAGUGAGAAACUCGUCCGCCGAAUGACCAAGGGUUCCUGGGCCAGGUUAAUCCGCCCAGGGUGAGUCGGGACCUAAGACGAGGCCGACAGGCGUAGCCGAUGGACAACGGGUUGAUAUUCCCGUACCCGUGUGAACGCGCCCCUGGUGAAUCAGUGAUACUAACCGCCCUGAAUCCCGGUGACGGAUCUCUUUCGAGAGUGAUGCGCUGGGUGGAUGCGUGGGACCUGAUCUGGUAGUAGCCAAGCGAUGGGGUGACGCAGGAAGGUAGCUGAGCCAGUCAGUGGUAAUACUGGUGUAAGCCUGUAGGGCGAGACAUAGGCAAAUCCGUGUCUCAUACAGCCUGAGAGGUGAUGCGUAGCCGAUUGAGGCGAAUUCAGUGAUCCUAUGCUGCCGAGAAAAGCCUCUAGCGAGCUUUCACACGGCCCGUACCCCAAACCGACACAGGUGGUCAGGUAGAGAAUACUGAGGCGAUCGAGAUAACUAUGGUUAAGGAACUCGGCAAAAUGCCCCCGUAACUUCGGGAGAAGGGGGACCUCGUCCGGUGAUCAUCCUUGCGGUGUGAGCUGGGUGGGGUCGCAGAGACCAGUGAGAAGCGACUGUUUACUAAAAACACAGGUCCGUGCGAAGUCGUAAGACGAUGUAUACGGACUGACGCCUGCCCGGUGCUGGAAGGUUAAGAGGACCGGUCAACUGCACUUGUGUGGUGAAGCUGAGAAUUUAAGCCCCAGUAAACGGCGGUGGUAACUAUAACCAUCCUAAGGUAGCGAAAUUCCUUGUCGGGUAAGUUCCGACCUGCACGAAUGGCGUAACGACUUCUCAGCUGUCUCAACCAUAGACUCGGCGAAAUUGCAUUACGAGUAAAGAUGCUCGUUACGCGCGGCAGGACGAAAAGACCCCGGGACCUUCACUAUAGCUUGGUAUUGGUGUUCGGUUCGGUUUGUGUAGGAUAGGUGGGAGACUGUGAAGCGGUGACGCCAGUUACUGUGGAGUCGUUGUUGAAAUACCACUCUGAUCGUAUUGGAUACCUCAACCUCGGACCAUGAUCUGGUUCAGGGACAGUGCCUGGUGGGUAGUUUAACUGGGGCGGUUGCCUCCCAAAAUGUAACGGAGGCGCCCAAAGGUUCCCUCAGCCUGGUUGGCAAUCAGGUGUCGAGUGCAAGUGCACAAGGGAGCUUGACUGUGAGACUGACAGGUCGAGCAGGGACGAAAGUCGGGACUAGUGAUCCGGCACCGGCAUGUGGAAGCGGUGUCGCUCAACGGAUAAAAGGUACCCCGGGGAUAACAGGCUGAUCUUCCCCAAGAGUCCAUAUCGACGGGAUGGUUUGGCACCUCGAUGUCGGCUCGUCGCAUCCUGGGGCUGGAGUAGGUCCCAAGGGUUGGGCUGUUCGCCCAUUAAAGCGGCACGCGAGCUGGGUUUAGAACGUCGUGAGACAGUUCGGUCUCUAUCCGCCGCGCGCGUCAGAAACUUGAGGAAGGCUGUCCCUAGUACGAGAGGACCGGGACGGACGAACCUCUGGUGUGCCAGUUGUUCCACCAGGAGCACCGCUGGUUAGCUACGUUCGGAAGGGAUAACCGCUGAAAGCAUCUAAGCGGGAAGCCUGUUCCAAGAUGAGGUUUCUCACCCCCUUUGU